AUGAAGUUUAAAUGAAGUCCAUUGUAUUCUUUAUUAAUCUUUACAAAUUGGUGCCGCCUCUUCCUGUUUCAACAGUACAUGAUAUCUGUCCACACCUCAUAGUCUGCCUUUCUUUCUAUGGUGAUGUUACUGAACACAUCUGUCUUAGAAGCAAGAGAAUGGAAAUCCUAGUUUAACUUUUCAAGUGCUACAAAUCAGAUCAAUGAAUUUGGGCAAUCAGAUCACUUAAAGUUGUUCACACAAAGACCAAUAACUAUAAUGAGAAGUAUUUUAGCAUCCACACCAACAGACAAUACUGUUCUCUUAAAUCUCUUAAAUGUUCCCCUCAUUCUGUUAAAUUUAUACACAAAAUUCUGCCUUUCUCUGCCUUUUUCACUUCAUCUUCAUGCUGUACUCCCUCACUCACACAUUCUUUUAUGCUCUGUUGUAAGGCAGAAACUGAGAGUUUGCAUGAUGGCAUUUUCUCAGACGCUGAAUCUGAUGUGUACAGAUGAACUCAGGAGCCUACUAGAGUUGCCAAGGAACUUGUGCUUGAACUGAAGACCAGAAACGCAAAGAAAAUCAGUCAAACCAGUCCUAAAGAAAUGAGGAAUGAACAUGGACUUCUUGUGCCCCAAAAGAAAAGACAGAAAGCUCCUAAAAUGAGCAAAUAAGCUGUGCAUCAUCUCUGUGAUUUGGGAAGGAAAUGACUGAAUAUGAUGAAGCCAAUUGAUGAAGAUAUCAAUUGAAUGGCCACCGAGUGCAUCACUGCUACCUGAACCCAUCAGUUAUCUGCUGUGAAGACUGCAUUCACAAACCGCUCUACUGCGACAGCUCAGAUGUUACGGCCUGUAAAAGUAAACAUCACAGCUAAACAACGAGAGCUAGUUGUGGUGGGAUUCUUUUGGCCAAUAUCCCCAACAAGAAUCAAUGACAUCUAGACCAGGUGGAGUGUGAGGAGGACCAUCAGAGACUCCAGCCAGCCGAGCCAUGGAUUGCUCUCACUGUUACCAUCAGGCAGACGUUAUCACAGAACCUACACCAGCAGACAGUGAGACUAGUUCCUUUCACAGGCAAUCAGACUGAACUGAACUCAUACCAGUAAAACCAUACACACCCCACCAACCUCAUAUGCCCUGCACUCUUAUCAGUUAUGCUGACUGGACUCAAUAUUAUUAUGCACCCUGACAUUCUGUUUGCACUAAUUCAUACCGUGCUUUACUGCAGAGAUGUAUGUGUACUGUGAUUAUUAUUGUUUUCAAUUCAUGCUCUUUGUAUAGCAUAAUUUUUAACAUAUAUUGUUCUCUACCUGAAUUGAGUCCCUUAUAUAUGUGUGUUGCAUAUAUAUAUAUAUUCAGAAUUUGUAUUUCAUAUAUAUUCAUGAAUUAAUUCAUUUGUCAUCCAUACUGUCACGCUGCAGUCUGCACCCAAGACUUUCAUCACCUGUAUACUUGUGUUCAUUGUAUUGUGACAAUAAAGAUAUUUGAUUUAAA